GAUGAACGCUGGCGGCGUGCCUAAUACAUGCAAGUCGAGCGAACGGAUGAGAAGCUUGCUUCUCUGAUGUUAGCGGCGGACGGGUGAGUAACACGUGGAUAACCUACCUAUAAGACUGGGAUAACUUCGGGAAACCGGAGCUAAUACCGGAUAAUAUUUUGAACGGCAUGGUUCAAAAGUGAAAGACGGUCUUGCUGUCACUUAUAGAUGGAUCCGCGCUGCAUUAGCUAGGUGGUAAGGUAACGGCUUACCAAGGCAACGAUGCCUAGCCGACCUGAGAGGGUGAUCGGCCACACUGGAACUGAGACACGGUCCAGACUCCUACGGGAGGCAGCAGUAGGGACUCUUCCGCAAUGGGCGAAAGCCUGACGGAGCAGCGCCGCGUGAGUGAUGAAGGUCUUCGGAUCGUAAAACUCUGUUAUUAGGGAAGAACAUAUGUGUAAGUAACUGUGCACAUCUUGACGGUACCUAAUCAGAAAGCCACGGCUAACUACGUG
rnacentral:rRNA from 1 species